GCCUUGGAUAGCUCAGUUGGUUGAAGCAUGGUGCUAUUAACACCAAGGUUGCAGGUUCAAUCCCCCUAUGUGACAUCUGCA